CCUGCAGUGGGUACGGGCAGACUAGAGUGCGGUAGGGGAGAUUGGAAUUCCNNNGUGUAGCGGUGGAAUGCGCAGAUAUCAGGAGGAACACCGAUGGCGAAGGCAGAUCUCUGGNNNNNNNACUGACGCUGAGGAGCGAAAGGGUGGGGAGCAAACAGGCUUAGAUACCCUGGUAGUCCACCCCGUAAACGUUGGGAACUAGUUGUGGGGUCCAUUCCACGGAUUCCGUGACGCAGCUAACGCAUUAAGUUCCCCGCCUGGGGAGUACGGCCGCAAGGCUAAAACUCAAAGGAAUUGACGGGGACCCGCACAAGCGGCGGAGCAUGCGGAUUAAUUCGAUGCAACGCGAAGAACCUUACCAAGGCUUGACAUAUACGAGAACGGGCCAGAAAUGGUCAACUCUUUGGACACUCGUAAACAGGUGGUGCAUGGUUGUCGUCAGCUCGUGUCGUGAGAUGUUGGGUUAAGUCCCGCAACGAGCGCAACCCUCGUCCUAUGUUGCCAGCACGUCAUGGUGGGGACUCAUAGGAGACUGCCGGGGUCAACUCGGAGGAAG
rnacentral:rRNA from 1 species